AUACAAAUACUCUAAAUUUAUAUAUGUAUAGUAUAAAAUAAAGUAUAAUAUAUUAUGAUUAGAAUAAUAUUGAGAAUAAUAAUUGUAGGUAAAAUUUAAAUAUUAUUGUUAUUAAUUUAAUUUUUCUAGUAUUAAAUCUUUGAAAAUAUGUUAAAUAAAACUAGGAUUAGAUACCCUACUAUUCAUUAAUUUAAAUUUUUUUUAUUUAAGUAGUGUGAUAUUAUUAUUAUAAAUAAUUUUAUUUAAACUUAAAAAGCUUGGCGGUGUUAUAUACCCAUUUAGGGGAGCUUGUUUAUUAAUUUGAUAAUCCUCAAUUAACACUUACUUUUUUUUGAAACAUCAGUUUGUAUAUUGCUGUCGACAGUUUAUUUCGUAAGAUUAUAAAAAACUUAAAAGUUUUGUUGCUUGU
rnacentral:rRNA from 1 species